UACGGGGGGGCAAGCGUUGUUCGGAAUUACUGGGCGUAAAGGGCUCGUAGGCGGCCAACUAAGUCCGACGUGAAAUCCCCAGGCUUAACCUGGGAACUGCGUCGGAUACUGGAUGGCUUGAAUUCGGGAGAGGGAUGCAGAAUUCCAGGUGUAGCGGUGAAAUGCGUAGAUAUCUGGAGGAAUACCGGUGGCGAAGGCGACCUUCUGGACGGUGACUGACGCUGAGACGCGAAAGCGUGGGGAGCAAACAGG
rnacentral:rRNA from 1 species